rnacentral:lncRNA from 1 species
GACAGUAGCUCGUUUACCAACAAUGGGUUCUUGUGGUGAAGAUCCACAUAAAAGGUUUCUUCUUCUUGCUUUUUCUCUCUGGAAUCAUCGUAAAAUGUUUGUGAUUUUACUUCUUUUCAAAUAAAAGGCUUAACAAUGAAUAUAUCAUUUCUUAGCUUAUGCGAUAUUAACUUGCUAUAAUACCUGCUCUAAUAAAACGCUCCAAGUUUAUCAAAAGACGUUUUAGAUAAAAUUUUACG